rnacentral:rRNA from 1 species
UACGUAGGUGGCGAGCGUUGUCCGGAAUCACUGGGUGUAAAGGGCGCGCAGGCGGGUUGGUAAGUCAAUGGUGAAAUCGUACGGCUCAACUGUACAAUUGCUUUUGAUACUGCCGAUCUUGAGUGCGGAAGAGGGUGAUGGAAUUCCUGGUGUAGCGGUGAAAUGCGUAGAUAUCAGGAAGAACACCGGUCGCGAAGGCGGUCACCUGGUCCGUAACUGACGCUCAGUGCGCGAAAGCGUGGGUA